UUUAAUUGAAGAGUUUGAUCAUGGCUCAGAUUGAACGCUGGCGGCAGGCCUAACACAUGCAAGUCGAGCGGUAACAGAAAGUAGCUU
rnacentral:rRNA from 3 species